AACGAACGCUGGCGGCAUGCCUAACACAUGCAAGUCGAACGAGACCUUCGGGUCUAGUGGCGCACGGGUGCGUACCGCGUGGGAACCUGCCCUUAGGUUCGGAAUAACUCCCCGUAAGGUGUGCUAAUACCGGUUAAUGUCUUCGGACCUAAGAUUUAUCGCCAUUGGAUGGGCCCGCGUUGGAUUCGCUAGUUGGUAGUGUAAAAGCCUAGCAAGGCGACGAUCCAUAGCUGGUCUGAGAGGAUGAUCAACCACACUGGGACUGAGACACGGACCAGACUCCUACGGGAGGCAGCAGUGGGGAAUAUUGGACGAUGGGCGAAAGCCUGAUCCAGCAGUGCGGGGGGAGAGAGGAAGGCCUUAGGGUUGUAAAGCUCUUUUACCCGAGAUGAUAAUGACAGUACCGGGAGAAUAAGCACCGGCUAACUCCGUG
rnacentral:rRNA from 1 species